ensembl:rRNA predicted gene, 26089
ACAUAGGGCUAUAUCAUUCUGAAUGAACCAGAUCUGGUCUGAUAUCUGAAGCUAAGUAAAAUUGGGCCUUGUUAGUGCUUAGAGGGAAGAAGCAAUAGUCUUAGGAU